rnacentral:rRNA from 1 species
ACGAACGCUGGCGGCGUGCUUAACACAUGCAAGUCGAACGGAAAGGCCUCAGCUUGCUGGGGUACUCGAGUGGCGAACGGGUGAGUAACACGUGGGUGAUCUGCCUUGCACUCUGGGAUAAGCUUGGGAAACUGGGUCUAAUACCGGAUAUGAACUGCCUUUAGUGUGGUGGUUGGAAAGUUUUUUCGGUGCAAGAUGAGCUCGCGGCCUAUCAGCUUGUUGGUGGGGUAAUGGCCUACCAAGGCGUCGACGGGUAGCCGGCCUGAGAGGGUGUACGGCCACAUUGGGACUGAGAUACGGCCCAGACUCCUACGGGAGGCAGCAGUGGGGAAUAUUGCACAAUGGGCGGAAGCCUGAUGCAGCGACGCCGCGUGGGGGAUGACGGCCUUCGGGUUGUAAACUCCUUUCGACAGGGACGAAGCUUUUUGUGACGGUACCUGUAGAAGAAGCACCGGCUAACUACGUG